ACCAGCUUUCAAGAAGACGGCGGCGGCAAAGCACACUAACGCAUGUACUGGCUUCGAAGUUGUGUCUACGAGGGCAAUAGGCUAUCAAAACAGCCUACAAGUAGGCGGUGGUCUAGUGAGACACAGAGCGCGACGAUACUAAUAACAGUGGGUUACCAUUGGCUGAGGCUGUGCGGUUAAAGCGCCAUCGUCAUAGGACAGCUAGCCGGUAAAAAUUAAGGACCUACGGCAACAGCAACAACAAAAAAGAGGCCAAAAAUGUCUCCUGGACUGUGCGCGUGCUACAAGUGUGUCGUGUCCGGUCGUCGGUGGAAUCUUACAGUUACGGAUAUCAUCCGUGACAGGCCACUUGUACGAGCCUGUGGUAGCGUGUCCAACUUACAGGAUCUCUUCGCUGAGGAUAAAUGCGAUGAAACCAACCCGUUAACCGCCAUCUCAGAACGAAAAAGGAUCUUAGUCGCUCUAUAUUUUGGAGCUGCAUUUCGCGAUUCUUGCCAGUGUCUCUGCCGUUCUUCACAAUAAAGGACAAUAUUCAAGUGUUCGCUAACGAGCUGUGGAUUGCACAGCGUUCACUGUAUGCAGCAGGACUACGCCUUGAGAUCGUAUACGUUUCUGCCGACAGAAAUGCAGAUGAAUUGUUCAACUUCAUGAAGUCGCGACCCCAAUGGCACGCUCUACGCUUCAAUGACCCAGCCGUUAGUGAACUGCGUUCAUUUUUGUCCAUUCGUGAGGUGCCUGCUUUAGUCGUGAUCGACAACGUUGGUCUCGUAGCACGUUCUGGUCGUCGGGAUUUACAAACGCUUGGUCCUAUUGCCAUCUGGUGCAAGUGGACCAGCUCUAAGCCAGCCUCCUCUGCUCCUGCUAGGUCAGCAGGACCGUCAACCAUAUCCUCAGGGCCGUAUGCGUCAAGGAAAGCAGGUCCUUCAAGAAAUGCCAUAAAGCCGCUCAGAAAUAAUUAAAACUAGCUAGGAAACAGAUAAUAUCUAAUCAAAUACGUACGGAUCAAAUGAUACCUAGCUGUACCCCAGGUGGCUCGAACAUCCGGUGGGAAUAUCUACUAGCCUCCUCGUAUCUAAACCCGUCUGUUGGCGAUUUGAUCCGCGGAAUCGAAAGAAGUAAUUUAUAAGCCUCUCUAGAGAAUGUACGCGAGUGUUGGUGACGCCAUUGCUCGCGGAAGUUUGGCGAACAGAAGCAAUGAUAAGGAUCCAAUCUGGACUCAGUGGCCACCUUAAAAUGUAGGUUACAAUCUUACGUCGAACGCUGUAUUAUAGCUACCAAAUAUAGUGGAUAUACUGUUCAGUCGAUGAAUAAAUUCUACUCAGUCUGGAGUUGGUACUUUCGA